rnacentral:rRNA from 1 species
AGAUUAGCUAGUUGGUGAGGUAAUGGCUCACCAAGGCGACGAUCUCUAGCUGGUCUGAGAGGAUGAUCAGCCACACUGGGACUGAGACACGGCCCAGACUCCUACGGGAGGCAGNNNUGGGGAAUAUUGCACAAUGGGCGCAAGCCUGAUGCAGCCAUGCCGCGUNUGUGAAGAAGGCCUUCGGGUUGUAAAGCACUUUCAGCAGUGAGGAAGGCAGUAGCGUUAAUAGCGUUGGUGUUUGACGUUAGCUGCAGAAGAAGCACCGGCUAACUCCGUGCCAGCAGCCGCGGUAAUACGGAGGGUGCGAGCGUU